rnacentral:rRNA from 1 species
GAUGAACGCUGGUGGCGUGCCUAACACAUGCAAGUCGAGCGAUUCUCUUCGGAGAAGAGCGGCGGACGGGUGAGUAACGCGUGGGUAACCUGCCCUGUACACACGGAUAACAUACCGAAAGGUAUGCUAAUACGAGAUAACAUGCUUUUAUCGCAUGGUAGAAGUAUCAAAGCUUUUGCGGUACAGGAUGGACCCGCGUCUGAUUAGCUAGUUGGUGAGGUAACGGCUCACCAAGGCGACGAUCAGUAGCCGACCUGAGAGGGUGAUCGGCCACAUUGGAACUGAGACACGGUCCAAACUCCUACGGGAGGCAGCAGUGGGGAAUAUUGCACAAUGGGCGAAAGCCUGAUGCAGCAACGCCGCGUGAGCGAUGAAGGCCUUCGGGUCGUAAAGCUCUGUCCUCAAGGAAGAUAAUGACGGUACUUGAGGAGGAAGCCCCGUCUAACUACGUG